CCCCCUUUCCCCUCCCCCCCCCCACCGCCCCGCAGCAGGUCAGCUGGUCCCUGAGCAGGGGCAGGUCCCAGCACUGUCCCCUGAGCCUGGUGCCGAGCCCAGCUUGGGACGGCUCUUGGACAAAAGCUGCCAGCCUCACUGGGAGCAGAGGCUGCCCUUUGCCAGAUUCUCUUUCCACCUGCACCUCCCUAGGCCCCCAAAGCCACAGGUGAGAGGGCACUUCGGUGACAUCACAUCUCCAAAUCCUCAUCCUGGUGAGAAGGCCCUUCCAGCUUUUUUUUUUAUUAUUUGUUUAUUUAUUUAUUUAUUUAUUUGUUUAUUUAUUUAUUUAUUGAUGUCAGAGAGGAAGGGAGAGGGAGAGAGAAAUAGAAACAUCAAUGACAAGAGAGAAUCACUGAUCUGCCCUUCAGCCCACCCACCUUCGGAGACUGAGCCCACAACCCUGGUAUGUGCCCUGACUGGGAAUGGAACAGUGACUUCCUAGUUCACAGGUCGGUGCUCAACCACUGAGCAGCACUGGCCGGGGCCCAUCCAGCCUGUACAACCCAAACCUUGCCCACUCUGCAGAGCCACCUGGAUUGAAUGAGGGUCUCCUGUGACAGAGGGAGGAUCACACUGCCCCACGCCAGCCUUCCCCAGCGAGAGGGCAGCAUCCAAACCCAGGUGGCCGAGAAGAGGCCUCCCGUUCACACAAGAUCGCCACUCUGAGUGUGAGUAUGUGUGUGUGUGUUGUGUGAGUUUGUGUGUGUGCACGUGCAGAUGCCAUGUUCAAACCAUCACCACAGAGGUGUGCAAGCGAGUUCCAUAUUACAUGUACACACAGAAUGUUGUGAUCUAUGCACACUGUUCACACACACACACACACACACACACACCCUAGCGCACUGUGAUGUGGGACAAGUUGCUUUGCUACCUGACCUCCCCAUCUGAGUAACUCCAGGCCCGUAACUCUAGUUCCCACCACCACCAGCUGCCCGGCCACCUUCUCCCCAGGGGGAAUGUCCUCCCCCAGGGUCCGCAUGUCCUGCCCCGUGUCCCCGCGCGCAGGGCCGCCCUGACGGGUGAUGGGCAGUUCGGUCUGUGCGUGGAGGAGUUGAGUGCCCUCCCCCGGGGGACAGUUACGGUUUAACAGUGAUCACAGACGAUGCCUGGCCCAGAGGAGCGGCUGUCACGGUGGGGUUAGGGCAUGUCGUGGGCCAGGAAGGGGGGCCCUUUUUACCGGGCCUGUGAGAGCUCCAGUCAUGCUGUCCCUGCGCCGGCCUGUGCCUGAGCACAAGCUAGCCACCUGCACACACCUUCCCUGGGGCGAGAACACGGAGAACAGCGUUCAACACGGAGGAAAAUCAAAGGGACCAGCUGAUCCGGAGCCCACCUCCCACCCCCACCCCGGGCAGCGGGUCCCCCCUUUCCGUCCCUCCUGCUCCCCUCUCUCGGCUGUCACCGUGUCAUGAGCUCACUCCUGUGCCCCCUCUGUGGUCUCCUCCCCCAAUGCGCCAUCUUCCUCUGUCUUCCAAUGGGACUGGGCUGGUUCUCGGGUCGGGACAGGGAGAGGGAGAAGCAGGCGCAGGGGUGCGGCCGGGCGGAGCGGAGUUUGGAGAAAGCCCUCGGAGGAAGCGACGGGCUGGCCCUGCGAGUGCCUUACAAUGACUUCCUUUCGGAAACUCUGCAUCGUCAGUCUUCGGAUGUUACAUCACUGCUAACAGAUGUUGCAUUUCAGUUCUCUGGGAUUAUAAAAAGUUAAAUACAGUGUGUAUUCGACAACAA